AUACGGAGGAUGCGAGCGUUAUCCGGAUUUAUUGGGUUUAAAGGGUGCGUAGGCUGUGCGUUAAGUCAGGGGUGAAAUGCCGUCGCUCAACGACGGAGCUGCCCUUGAUACUGGCGUGCUGGAGUACGGAUGCCGUUGGAGGAAUGAGUGGUGUUGCGGGGGAAUGCUUAGAUAUCACUCAGAACACCGAUUGCGAAGGCAUCUGACGAAUCCGUCACUGACGCUGAGGCACGAAAGCGUGGGGAUAGAACAGGAUUAGAUACCCUGGUAUUCCACGCCGUAAACGAUGAUGACUAACCGUCGGCGAUAGACAGCCGGUGGCCAAGCGAAAGCGAUAAGCCAUCCACCUGGGGAGUACGUCGGCAACGAUGAAACUCAAAGGAAUUGACGGGG
rnacentral:rRNA from 1 species